ensembl:lncRNA
AGGAAGUGAAACACUAGAGCACCAUGGCGCUAUGGCAGGAUCCUCAAUGUUUGCUUUACUCUGCAUCAUUCUCAGCUCCAGCUGUGCAGUGCUCGGUCUCUGGUCACGACCAGCUGCCUCUGAAGGUGAAAAUGAGAGAAUCAUUUCAGUAAUAAAGACUGUGACCUGCACCUGCAUCCGCCUCCAGUCUCGUUCCGUGACAGAAUACUGCGCCCAAAAAUGCGGAAGCAGCAGGUCGCUAUGAGCGCCGCCGAAGAGGCCAGGAUUUGGGCGCUUCUCCGUUCGUCCCUGGAGUUGAGCAAACAGCUCGCGGAGGACAUUUCUCAGUGCAAGGCCGAGCUGCGCGCCGCGUCGUCCCUCGCGCCAUAUACCCCGUCCCCGUCGCCAAGGAGCGACGCCUUGCAACAUAGCCAGCAAAGUAACCUGAGCAUCUGGGGCUUUCCACUGCAGGGGAGGUAUACCUUGCUGCGCAGUCCAGAGGUGAAGGCUGGCCCAGAAUUUUAUGUCCAAGUCCAGCCCACAGUCCCUGAGAGCCAAGUCAAGCCCACAGACCCGGAGGUCCAAGUCCCAGUCAAGUCUCAUGUUCCUGAUGUCCAAGUCUCCCUGUUCAGCCUCCCUGGUCGGCUGUGGACGUCGCUCAGCCUCCCUGGUCGGCUGUGGACGUCGCUCAGCCUUCCUGGUCGGCUGUGGACGUCGCUCUGCCUCCCUGGUCGGCUGUGGACGUCGCUCUGCCUCCCUGGUCGGCUGUGGACGUCGCUCUGCCUCCCUGGUCGGCUGUGGACGUCGCUCUGCCUCC